rnacentral:tRNA from 2 species
UCCCAGAUGGCGAAACUGGAAGACGCAGCGUGCUGUUGACGCGCCGCCGAAAGGCAUGGGGGUUUGAGGCCCGCUCUGGGAGCCA